GAGUGAUGGAAUCCCCCAGAGCUGCCAUUACCCACAGAUCGUAUAGUGGUGAACCUACGGUUUUCUGAAG
ensembl:snoRNA